rnacentral:rRNA from 1 species
CGGUAAUUCCAGCUCCAAUAGCGUAUACUAAAGUUGUUGCAGUUAAAAAGCUCGUAGUUGGAUUUCUGCGGGGACGGAGCGGCCGGACGCAACUUGCGUCUCGAGCUAGCGCUUUCCCCGCAUCCUGCCGCGAACCGUGCUACCAUUAGUUUGGUGGCGCUGGGGAUCGGCUCGAUUACUUUGAGAAAAAUAGAGUGUUCAAAGCAGGCCACACGCCUUGAAUAAGUUAGCAUGGAAUAAUGACUAAGGACUUUGGUUCUUUUCGUUGGUGUUCGGGACUGAAGUAAUGAUUGAUAGGGACAGUUGGGGCGGUCCGUAUUCCAAAGCGAGAGGUGAAAUUCUUGGACCUUCGGAAGACGAACAGCUGCGAAAGCGUUCCGCAAGGAUGUUCCCUUUGAUCAAGAACGAAAGUUGGGGGAUCGAAGACGAUCAGAUACCGUCGUAGUCUCAACUAUAAACUAUACCAGCUAGGGAUCGGCCAACGUUUAAUUAUUCGACUUGGUCGGCACCUUAUGAGAAAUCAAAGCAUCUGGGUUCCGGGGGGAGUAUGGUCGCAAGGCUGAAACUUAAAGGAAUUGACGGAAGGGCACCACCAGGCGUGGAGCCUGUGGCUUAAUUUGACUCAACACGGGAAAACUUACCAGGUCCAGACAUAGGAAGGAUUGACAGAUUGAUAGCUCUUUCUUGAUUCUGUGGGUGGUGGUGCAUGGCCGUUUUUAGUCGGUGAAGUGAUUUGUCUGCUUAAUUGCGUUAACGGACGAGACCCCAGCCUGCUAAAUAGCGCGGCCGAGCUUUGCUCGGUACGAGCUUCUUAGAGGGACCAUGAUGCGCGAUAGCACAAGGAAGUUUGGGGCAACAACAGGUCUGUGAUGCCCUUAGAUGUUCUGGGCCGCACACGGGCUACACUGGCGCCUGCAACGAGCAUAUCAGCUGGCCCGAGAGGGUCUUGGCUAAUCUUUGGAACCGGCGCCGUGCUUGGGAUUGACCAUUGCAAUUGUUGGUCAUGCAACGAGGAAUGCCUUGUAAACGCGAGUCAUCAGCUCGCAUUGAAUACGUCCCUGCCCUUUGUACACACCGCCCGUCGCUCCUACCGAUGAAUGUUCCGAUGAAAUUUUCGGAGAGCGCCGGAGAACGGGGCUCUGCCCUGCAGAACUGGAGGCUCAAAGUCACUUAAAUCUGAACAUUUCGAGGAAGGAGAAGUCGUAACAAGGUAACC